UUAAAAUUCUUUAUAUUAGAGCUAUGCUAAGCACCUCAUACUUAUAUCUAGUUUCAAUAGAGGCAGCGUACAACUCCUACCCAUCAACGACAACGGCAAACCCGACUCAUCAAUAACACAGUAACAUCAUCGAACAACAACCCAGCCGACAACGUUAUCAACAACUACAGCAACCCAUAUCAGCAACAGCAACCAACGCGACAAUAACAAUAGUAAAGCAACGAACAAGUCAACAACAACAGCUCAUACCCAACGGGUUAAUCCGGAUUUUGCUCAAAGCUGUUCGGUCAGACUUGAUUUCGUACGUACGUGGAUCAUGGAUGGUCAUGAUUAAUUUGUGUUUGAAUUUCAAAUUUUUCGUCCUCAAUUUCUUAUUUGUUUUUCCCCAAAAAUCAUUUCGAAAAUCCCCUAUAAAUACCCAUUGAGGGAUAGAGGGAGGGGGAGGAACGGGGAUUUUGGGGAAAAACUUAAAGGUUCGGGAGGCGCAUGCUUCUAACCUCACGCAACCAAAAUUUUUGAAGAGUUCGAAAACUCAAUUUCGACGAAAAGUUGAACUCCGACAAGUUGGAAUCAUAAUCUCGGGAUGAAACAAAAAUAAUCUCCUGUGGUGGAAGUUUCAUCGUGCUAAGCUCGUUGUCCCAUGUUCGUUGCCCCACAAAAGAGUCUAUCGGACUCCCGUCUCUCGCAUUCCGUGGGGUUAACACCAACCUCCAUCGAGUCAAGAUUCCUUAAAGUCUAAAAAUGGACUGAUUUGCCCGAGACAACACUGUUACACAAGCUGGUAUACACUGAUCUGUGGUGAUAUACAUUGCAUAUACAUCAAAAGCAGCAGUUGCACGCUAUCAUACGGUGUAUAAUAAAAGGUGGAGAGGGAAUAUGCAAUUUCUACACUGAUAUACAGUGUAUACGUGGUGAUGUACAGGAAAAUGCAGAAAAAUCGGACUGAUAUACACAUAGUAUACACGGCAGAAAGAAGACCCAAAGUCCAUAAUUCAAAGCCCCAAAACUGAACAGCUUUAUUGAUGGGCUAAUUAAGGGCCCAAUUUAAAUAUUUGUAUUCAAAAAAUUACACAAAUACACAUAUGUUUUCAAUAUUACAAAAAAUUCCAACUCCCUAAAUAUAUUACAAAAAUACUACAUAUAAAUAGAAUGCUAU